rnacentral:rRNA from 1 species
GAUCCUGGCUCAGAAUCAACGCUGGCGGCGUGCCUCAGACAUGCAAGUCGAACGAUUAAAGCUCUCUUCGGAGAGUGUAUAGAGUGGCGCACGGGUGAGUAACACGUAAGUAAUCUACCUUUGAGUGGGGAAUAACAGUCGGAAACGACUGCUAAUACCGCAUAAUGCAGCGGCAUCGCAAGAUGACAGUUGUUAAAGGAGCAAUCCGCUUAAAGAGGAGCUUGCGGCAGAUUAGCUUGUUGGUAAGGUAACGGCUUACCAAGGCUACGAUCUGUAUCCGGUCUAAGAGGACGGUCGGACACACUGACACUGAAUAACGGGUCAGACUCCUACGGGAGGCAGCAGUCGGGAAUUUUGGGCAAUGGGCGAAAGCCUGACCCAGCAACGCCGCGUGAAGGAUGAAGUAUUUCGGUAUGUAAACUUCGAAAGAAUGGGAAGAAUCAAUGACGGUACCAUUUAUAAGCUCCGGCUAACUACGUGCCAGCAGCCGCGGUAAUACGUAGGGAGCAAGCGUUGUUCGGAUUUACUGGGCGUAAAGGGCGCGUAGGCGGCGCGGUAAGUCACUUGUGAAAUCUCUGAGCUUAACUCAGAACGGCCAAGUGAUACUGCAGUGCUAGAGUGCAGAAGGGGCAAUCGGAAUUCUUGGUGUAGCGGUGAAAUGCGUAGAUAUCAAGAGGAACACCUGAGGUG